CGGAAUUGUCGCAGAAAUUUUAUCUUUCAAACAUUUGGAGGAGGAACUCAAUUAACGUAUGCUGAGAUUUUCACUAGUUUCUAGACAGUGCCUGCGAGACACAAAGACGUUGAUGGUCAGCAGUAAUAUGAAGAACUUGAGUUUAAAAAUCACGAGGAAUGCGAUUUGUUUCAAAAGUACAUCAGCAACGAUGAUAUUGUGGAUUGCAUCGUAAGUUGAUGGUGGACGAGCUUACAGGAAUGACUUACCAUCCAGGUAUACUUGCGAUCAGACUUAUGGCUCGUGCUAAUAUUUAUUGUACAAAUAGGAUAGUGUGUCCCAAUGAUCCGUUUGUAACCGUUACGCAGCGGAAAUUGUAUUCCUAAUGAUCCGUUUGUAACCUUUACGCAGCGGAAUUUGUAGCGUUGUUUGUGUAAAUCAUUCGUAACUUGAGUUGAAUAACAAAACAUAUUCGUUCAUUUAA